GCCUCUCCCGUGGUCACUCAAUCCCUCCAAACAGCUGAACUGGAAUUAAGUUGGCAACAAAUACUGAAUACCACCAAUGUCAGACAACUGAGGGUUUCUGCGGCAAGAGCAGAAUCAAAAAUAAUAAAACCAAAUUGCUGGAAAGCACCUACACUGCUUGCACAGGACUCCCGAAUCCAAGAAAAGCUUCCAGGCUUUUGUGCUGGCCCGGCUGAGGUUGAAUUGUUUCUAUUCUUUCCUGCCUCCAGUCUCCUUCUAUGGAGUGUCCAAUGGGGAUUAUUACUGGAGCAAACUGAAAAAGCUGAAGAGCUGCUCACUUUCCUCUUAAAUGAGCAGACAGAUGUUUUACACCAUCCUUGCAGGGCAAUCUCCUGAUUUGGAGUCAUCAGUGAAGUGAUCUGGUGAUGGGAGUAUAAAUCUCUGGUAGAAUGAUAGCAGGUACAACCCUGAAGUCAUUCUCCAGCACCACAAUAAAAAAGCUAAGGGGGC
rnacentral:lncRNA from 1 species